rnacentral:tRNA from 1 species
CUAGGGAUAGUGUAGUGGAAACACUGCCGUCCUUCACAUGGGAGACCGGGGUUCGAAUCCCCGAGGUUCCUACA